AAAAGUUUAGGUUAAACAAACCAAGGGCCUUCAAAGCCCUAGACACGAGCCACCACCCUCCUAACUUUUG
rnacentral:tRNA from 1 species